rnacentral:rRNA from 1 species
CGCGUAGGUAACCUGCCUUGUAGCGGGGGAUAACUAUUGGAAACGAUAGCUAAUACCGCAUAACAAUGGAUGACACAUGUCAUUUAUUUUGAAAGGGGCAAUUGCUCCACUACAAGAUGGACCUGCGUUGUAUUAGCUAGUAGGUGAGGUAAUGGCUCACCUAGGCGACGAUACAUAGCCGACCUGAGAGGGUGAUCGGCCACACUGGGACUGAGACACGGCCCAGACUCCUACGGGAGGCAGCAUG